rnacentral:rRNA from 1 species
AUGGUCGACGAUGCAGGGAAGUCAGAGUUCCUUGCAUUUUUCGGGUUCACACAAGUGCCCACAAUAAAGUUUUUUGGCAACAAGAUUAUUGAAGGAGAAGAUUUGUCUAACGAGCAGCUCAUUCGAUGUUUCAUGAUUGUUGCCCUGUCAACCGUGUUGUGCCCAACUUCAAACACUAAACCAAGCACCAAGUACAUGGGAUCACUAAUAGAUGUCAGUAAAAUCAGAGACCUAAAUUAGUGCAAGUUCACUCACAUGUGGCUGUUGCAAGCUAUUAGGAAGUAUCAAAAAGAGAAGACGAAGCAAAACCGCUUGACACUGACACUAGGAGGGUGCAUAUACCAACUAGCGGUACAUUUUCUUUUCUUUUUCACCUUCUUUUUCUAUUUAUAG